AGAGUUUGAUCAUGGCUCAGGACGAACGCUGGCGGCGUGCUUAACACAUGCAAGUCGAACGAACUUGAUGAAGAGCUUGCUCUUCAGAAAAGUGAGUGGCGGACGGGUGAGUAACACGUGGGUAAUCUACCUCUGAAACGGGGAUAACUCAUCGAAAGGUGAGCUAAUACCGGAUGAGCUUCACAGUGCGCAUGUACAGUGAAGGAAAGGUGCCGCAAGGUGCCGAUCAGAGAUGAGCCCGCGUCCCAUUAGCUAGUUGGUGAGGUAAAAGCUCACCAAGGCAACGAUGGGUAGCCGGCCUGAGAGGGUGACCGGCCACACUGGGACUGAGACACGGCCCAGACUCCUACGGGAGGCAGCAGUGGGGAAUAUUCGGCAAUGGGGGAAACCCUGACCGAGCAACGCCGCGUGGGUGAAGAAGUUUUUCGGAACGUAAAGCCCUGUCGUGAGGGAAGAAAGAACUUCUACUGAAUAGGUAGAGGAAGUGACGGUACCUUACAAGAAAGCUCCGGCUAACUACGUGCCAGCAGCCGCGGUAAUACGUAGGGAGCAAGCGUUGUCCGGAAUCAUUGGGCGUAAAGGGCGCGUAGGCGGUUUAUUAAGUCAAGUGUGAAAAUCACAGGCUCAACCUGUGAACUGCGCUUGAAACUGGUAGACUAGAGAUCAGGAGAGGAAAGUGGAAUUCCUAGUGUAGCGGUGAAAUGCGUAGAUAUUAGGAAGAACAUCGAUGGCGAAGGCAGCUUUCUGGCCUGACACUGACGCUGAGGCGCGAAAGCGUGGGGAGCAAACAGGAUUAGAUACCCUAGUAGUCC
rnacentral:rRNA from 1 species